rnacentral:rRNA from 1 species
CCUACGGGAGGCAGCAGUGAGGAAUAUUGGUCAAUGGGCGGAAGCCUGAACCAGCCAAGUCGCGUGAGGGAUGAAGGCCCUAUGGGUCGUAAACCUCUUUUGUCAGGGAACAAAGGCGGGGACGUGUCCCCGGAUGAGUGUACCUGAAGCAAAAGCAUCGGCUAACUCCGUGCCAGCAGCCGCGGUAAUACGGAGGAUGCGAGCGUUAUCCGGAUUUAUUGGGUUUAAAGGGAGCGCAGGCGGUCUGUUAAGUCAGCGGUCAAAGCCCGGGGCUCAACCCCGGCCCGCCGUUGAAACUGGCAGUCUCGAGUUGGAGAGAAGUAUGCGGAAUGCGAGGUGUAGCGGUGAAAUGCAUAGAUAUCGCGCAGAACUCCGAUUGCGAAGGCAGCAUGCCGGCUCCACACUGACGCUGAGGCACGAAAGCGUGGGUAUCAAACAGGAUUAGAUACCCGAGUAGUC